UUUGACCGUCCGUCUUAUUUGAAAAUUUUAUGAAAAAAUUUUAAAAAUUAAGUUACGCAUAAAAUACUAUUCAUAUUUUAUCAUCUAAUAACAAUAAUAAAAUAGUAAUCAUAAAAAAUUUUUAAAUAAGACGGACGGUUAAA
rnacentral:pre_miRNA from 1 species